UAAGGCCAAGGAGGGGUCACCAAACUUUUUUGGUGUCUCUCCCUGGGAAGUAACGUGUGUCGUGCAGUUUGGAGAUGUGUACCGCUACGUCUGACAUCCCAGAUGCUGUUUGAGUACAUUUGGCGUCUGUGAGCAUUUUGGGGAGUUUUUGGUGAAUGGGAUAUUUUAUCUGGGUGGGUUUUGUGAGCCAUGGUACAAAGUCUGUAGGGAUUUGUGUCCUUGUAGACCUGGGUGUGCAUUUUCUGAGCUUUUGGGCAUUAGAGUCACUGGGUGUUAGACCCUUAUGUAGACGUCUGUACCCCAGCGUGUGAGGCCUUUGAACUGUUGUGAUUCUGGGUCCCAAGGUGUGAUGUCUCUGAGCUGCUUUAGGAAGGGGUUUGUCUAAAGGUGUAAAGUAUCUGAGCUGUUUGGGGUCUGUGUGUCAGUAGUAAAAUCUCUUACCAUUUUGGCUGUGAGGUCUCUGUCCAGGAACUGAGGGAGUUGGAAACCCGGCAGGUAUGAUUCCGAAGCCUGGAACCCGACGUGCUGAUGGUGCGUUGUUGAGGGUGUCACUUGUCUCCUGGAGUCUCAGUAAUCAGGGAAAGUCUCCCUGAAGGAUGACGAAUGAGCAGAGACCUGGAGGAAGUGAGGGAGCACGCCGUGGGAUUACCUGAAGGAAGAGCAUUCCAGGCAGAAGGAACAGCAGAUGAGGAAGCUUGAGACACGUAGAGGUUAACGGGUGAAGGAACUUGCCCAAAGUCACCUGGCCGGCAAGAAGUGAGUCAGAUUGCUACGCAGGCCUGAAAGAAACAGAGAGGUGUGGUAUCUGACCCCCAAAUCUGGAAUACACUGCAGUGUCCAGUGUCCUCUGGAUCAAAAGGCAAGUGAACAUGUCCAUCGGCAUGAAUCAGAUUACCAUGGAUCUGUGUAUGGAUUGAGCAUGAUGUCUCCUAAGUGCAUGAAAGACCACGGGGUGUCGUGUCAAUAUGCACACGUCACAGAGAACAGUUCCUGGUCCAUAUCAAGCUCUAUACAUGUCUUUGCUUCUACCGACAUCAGUAUCAGCAUCCUCAUCCUCAUCAUUAUGGGAAGUAGCAUAACCAUACUAUAAUGAUAAACAGAACAACAGACACAAAAGUAUGAAGACAUUACCUCCCCCCAUCUCCUAAUCUUUAAAAAUGCAGAGAAAAAACCUGGAAGGCAGUAGACUACAUAUUAAGUGUUUUUCUCUUGAGUGUGAAAUUCUAGAUAAUGCCCAAAUAACCUUUUUUUUUUUUUUUGGCGGUACACGGGCCUCUCACUGUUGUGGCCUCUCCCGUUGCGGAGCACAGGCUCCGGAGGCGCAGGCUCAGUGGCCAUGGCUUAUGGGCCUAGCCGCUCCACGGCAUGUGGGAUCUUCCCGGACCGGGGCACGAACCCGUGUCCCCUGCAUCGGCAGGCGGACUCUCAACCACUGCACCACCAGGGAAGCCCCCAAAUAACCUUUUAAUGUGCUGUAUCUUCAUUGUUACGUAGCCAGUUUUUCUAUUAUAAUUUAAAACUAGUU